rnacentral:rRNA from 1 species
UACAGAGGGGGCAAGCGUUGUUCGGAAUUACUGGGCGUAAAGGGCGCGUAGGCGGCCAACUAAGUCAGACGUGAAAUCCCUCGGCUUAACCGGGGAACUGCGUCUGAUACUGGAUGGCUUGAGUUCGGGAGAGGGAUGCGGAAUUCCAGGUGUAGCGGUGAAAUGCGUAGAUAUCUGGAGGAACACCGGUGGCGAAGGCGGCAUCCUGGACCGACACUGACACUGAGGAGCGAAAGCCAGGGGAGCAAACGGG